rnacentral:lncRNA from 1 species
UUUUUUUUUUUCUUUUUACAACUGCACCCUUUUUACAACUACGCCACAGCCACAGCAACAUGAGAUCUGAGCCACAGCUUGCGGCAACACCGGAUCCCACUAAGCAAGCUGUGGUGUAGGUUUCAGACGCGGCUUGGAUCCCGAGUUGCUGUGGCUGUGGUGUAGGCCAGCAGCUAUAGCUCUGACUUGACCCUUAGCCUGAAAACCUCUAUAUGCUGCGGGAGUGGCCCUGAAAAGCAAAAAAAUAAAAAUAAAAACCUUAUCAAAUUGGUAAAUGUCCACUGAACACUUCCUAUCUACCAGGACAUCCCAGGACCAGGCUACAGUGCCCAUCCUUAGGCCUUAGGACCUUAGGAACUACCCCACGUUUACAAGUUUCAACAUCACCUCUAAAAGACUGCAUACCCUAAUGAACCACUGAGACACACUUGGGUGGUGGUUCUCUGGAUGAAAACGGAGCGAUGUCAUGCCUGUCCUAACCAAGACCAGGCGAGGAGUGAUGUCGAGGAGAGCCAAGUGAAAUGUCUAAGGUCUAUUUUUAGUUUCCUUUCUUAUUAAUAGUUCCACCCCCUUGGCAAGACACUUCCACUUGCUGAGACUCGGUCUCUACAAGAUAGAAUGAGCCUGCACUCAGCAACCUCGGUUCUGAAGUGGCGUUACUGCUAACCUCUCAUGCACACGCAGGGGGCCGGUAAUGCAAAUGUGGCAACAGAGCUAGAGUUCUCCUGAAAAGAGGGCAUGAUGGAAAUAAACAGUACUAGAGAUAGGACUUCUGAUGUAAAAGUAGAAUAUUGCGAACCUGUACAUGCAGACAAUUUUCUAACAACAUGAGAGAGGGAGAGGAAGAAAGGGAGAGAGAAGGGGAAAGUGAGAGUGAGGGAGAGAAAGAAAAGGGGUAACCAAAAAGCAGCCAGCCUGUUAUAUAACUAAUCAAGGCACUUCAUCUCAAUGGACCUCAGUUUUCCAGGAGUAUUUGAGAGGAUCAGAGGCUUAAAAUGUAUCAAGUGUUCUAACUUCCUUAAAAGAAGGGUGUUAGCUGAAUACCAAAAGUCACUGUGACAAGCAAAACCAAACACAAUAAGUGAUACUUGUCACGGGAAGGAUGCAAAUCCACAGGCUCACACAGCUGGGAGGGGAUUUCAAUCAGAUAAUACAAUCAGCAGAUAAUACAAUCCCCUUUCUCACACUGUCCUCUGACGGAGACUAAAGGCUGAACAUCUUCCAAUCCACGGGAAGAGAGAGCUGCUGGGGGGAGACAUGUGGCCUUGAAGUGGUUCCUCAGGUCGGCUACACCUGUUUCUCUUUCAUUGCAUGCCUCCCCGGGACUUAGCUAAGGAAACACCCCUGAGAUGGGCUGGGGCGGAGGCUGCACUGUUAGCCUCUUUUGGUGGCAACCAAGGCCUCUGCCAAGAGUCUCACAGAGAGACCACAUGAAACCAAGGCAUAAAGAAGGUGGUUCAUUUACAGAUACAGCCAAGUAAGAAGGCAGCUGGGGAGGCACGUCUGGUGGGGAAAAGGCCUCAUUGCUUUCCUCUAGGGAGUUCCCAUCAUGGCUCUGGGGUAACAAACCCAGCUAGGAUCCAUGAGGAUGCAGGUUCAUCCCUGGCCUUGCUCAGCGGAUUAAGGAUCCGGCAUUGCCAUUCAGCUGCGCUAUAGAUUGCAGACACGGCUCAGAUCCCAAGUUACUGUGGCUUCAGGCUGGCAGCUGUAGCUCCAAUUCCACCCCUAGCCUGGGAACUUCCAUAUGCCACAGGUGUGAUCCUAAAAAGCAAAGAAAAAAAAAUUUCUUUACUCUAGCUUAGAUCUGGGUGUCUCCUGACCUUCCUAGGUGCUAUGGCAGGAGCUGCUGGACCCCUUUAAUGUCAGAUAGGUAGGGAAAUGGACCGCACACAAGUCUCUCCUCUCUUUAAUCUCCCCUUCCUCCCUGCCCCAGCCCCUAAGGAAAACACUUAGAUGAGUAUCCUGAGUCAUCGGUGGCGCAGGGCCAUGGAAUGUGACAGUCAGAGGCAGCUCUGGACGCCAUGGCAAAAACAGGCGGUGUGGAAUUCUAGAACCAUACUGCCUUCCGAGUUCUGCUCACAGUCUACCAAUGGCUGCUGUGAGGAGAAUCUGUGAGGGCUGCUCUCUUCCUGCACAGAGAACAAGAAAUGCCUGAGGAUGUUGGUAUUGUGGAGAGGUUCUAACCUUCAGAGCCAAAAGGGUUCUGAGAGAACAAGUCCCUUCUUUGACAAGAGAAGUGAAGCCGUUAACAGUUGUUGGUCCAGAAAACUGUGUCUACACUUGCUUUAAGAGACAAAGUAACCAGGAAGUUCCCACCUUGGCUCCAUAGCGAUGAACCUGACUAGGAUCCAUGAGGACACAGUAUGGAUCCCUGACCUCACUCAGUGGGUUAAGGAUCCAGGGUUGCAGUGAGCUGUGGUGUAGGCAGCAGGCACAGCUCGGAUCUGGCAUUGCUCUGGCUGUGGCACAGGCCAGCAGCUGAAGCUCGAAUGUGAUCCACAGCAUGGGAACUUCCAUAUGCUAUGCGUGUGGCCCUAAAAAGACCAAAAAAGAAAAAAAGAGAGAGACAAGUAACCAAUGCAAAAGAAGGACAUGCUGUCCUUCAUGGAGCAAUCCACUGAGUAGAGCACUUUUAAAGUAGCCAAAGCUGGUAAUUCCUAGCCCUAGGUUUCCCUGACUCUGAGGAAACUGAAGAACCAGGGCCUUUAGCAGGACUUCAAUGAGAGCUGGAGCUUCUGCAUUAGAAUGCCUUUGCCCCUCUGCAGACUAGUGGACGUACAACAGAGCAGACUCAGGCCUGGCAGCUCAGCUGGGCUGCCAAAAGCCAUGCUUCAAUUUGUCCAGAAGACACUCACUGACCUGGCAACUUGAAACCUAAAAUCCAAGUCUCCUCAGUUCCUAGAACGUUCUGACUCCACAGAGAUGUCCUACACUAACCUACUCCCUCUGGCUUUGCCAGGGGCUUCCUUUACCCCAUCAGGCCCUAGGAUUUUGAUCCCAACUUGGAACCAAUGGUCUCGAGAAUCCCCAACAAAUUAUCCCACUGUUCUACAUUCCUGUCUCAUCAUCUGUGAAAUGCAAACAACCCAUCCUUACUGAUUUUGUAAAAACUAGGAAACUACUGAAAAUCAAUUAGCCCCCUCCAGGCUCCCAAGGGACCAAGUCAAGCCUCCAAAAGGAGAGGGGUCUCUCGUCUUUUCUAACCUAAAUGGAUGGAAAUACUGGCUCAUCAUCUGGAAGGCUAAGGCUGGGAACAGAAACCAAGAUGGCGAAAUCUGUGCUGUGCAGAGCUUGCCUUCCCUUCUCUCUUCCUGCUCUUAAACUGCUAGGAGGAGGUUGGCAGCAAGAAUCCCUACACACUGGCUCUAGGCCAGAUGUGCCAACAAACCAGGGCCUUUCUGAACCUUCAAGCCCUCCCUGUGAGGCUGAGUUUGCUAUUAUCUUCCUAGACAGGAAUGCAAAGGUUCAGGUGGGACAAAGGGCCGCACAGAGCCACACCGCAGGUAGGCAGUGACAUUAAAGACAGAACCAGGGCCUGCUGACACCAAGCCGGUACUUGGCUACAAUUCAACUCCAUAGACAGGAACGGGAGUGGGUAGGGAGGUACCUCCUCACCCUAGGAGGGCUAAGGGUCAGAUGCUCACUCUCUUUCUCUCACUGCCAGAAAAUCCAUUCCUUAAGCAUUCAGCUCCAAACACUCCUGGUGCUCCAAACAUACAACCACCGCCAAGAGGCCUCUGACCUAGGAGGCCUCUGCCAAGGAAGCAUCUUUAGAAUCUGGAAUGAGCAAGUGACCUCACUGAGCUGUGUCACAUGCGAGGUGCUGGUCAGAGCAGGGAGAAAGGGCAGACCCGCAGGGCUCGCCUGCCUUUAUCUCUCCCGACUGCUUUGUUCCUCAGACCCCAACGAACAAUAGGUGGUCACGCUCUGCUCCUCCUGUAUCUUUUUCACACAGGCCUGUGUGUGUGUGUGUGUGUGUGUGUGUAUUUAUCAGAAAAUUGACUGUUUUAUAUUAUAUUCACACAUGCUCCCCAGUGCGAAGGCUCCACCAGGCUCAGAAGAGGCAGCACGCAAAGAAGUGGGGUACUUUUUCCUAAGACUCCUCUCCUGGCUCUGCAAUCAAUCUACAGGUCACGCUGUGUACGUACAAUAUCUUCAAAGGGGAAAUGGAGGAACACCGUACAAAAAGCUCGGCCCUAGACAGUUUAGAAAGUAAUCAUUUUAAACCACCUGCUUGUGCAUUUAUCCACCCCGGUUCACUGUUUUUCCAACAUCUCACUGUGGCCAGGGUAGAGAGCGACCCACGGAAGCCAUCUGUAUUUUCCAGCAGACCAAACAGGAAGAGGCGCAGAAAUCUGCGCAAGUGACCACGCUGCCGCUGUUGCUAGGCAACACGAUCAUGUCCAUUCCCUGCUGCUUGGCAACCAGCCUUCCCCAUCAAAUAUAGGCACAGCCAUAGCAGCAGCACAAGUGCCCUGAACUGUUGCCUUACAGCUUUCAAAGAAAAGGGCUGAAAUUCAAGGGACCUUAGAAGUAGGAAUGGGUCCCCCCCACAUGCCCGGUGACCCCUAGAGCAAGAUGGCCCCAUUUAAUCAAAAAGUGACACAUGAAUUUGUACCUGAUGGUCGCACAAAUCUUAUCCUGAGUGCAGCGACAUGCCAGAGAGAUGAGAAAAGAGCUUGAGUCAGCAGGCUGGAGCUUUUGGAGAAAAAAGCCUGGGCUGUCUGCUCCAGACCUCUGAAGAAUUCAUUGGUGGAAGAGUGCUCUUUUUCCUAGGAUCAGCCGUGUAGUGGACGAGGAUAAAGUAAAAGGGCCAAAUACCUUAAACGGUGAUGUUUCUGUCUGUGGUUCCGGACCAAUGCCAGGGGAAUUUGGCAAGCCUCUCCCAACUGAGGGCAAAAUUGUCCUCCAGUCACCCCAACCUCAUUGGUCACAAUCUGUCAGCUCCUCAACAACAGGGCCAAAGUCAUCGACUUAUUGUUCACGUUGAAUGGCUGCCUACUAUAUAACAGGAUGCCCUCAGCCCACCUCCUGCCUUUGGGUGAUAAAGAAACAGAUGCCCCAAAUCCCAGUGGAAGUUAGUGUCCCAGUGUGCACUUGAACUCAGAAGCCCUUGGCUUCCAGUCAACUGUCUCGGCCACUAUAUUACCAGCUCCAUUGUUCCCAAGCUAGACUCACAUAAGACUCACAUUCAUUUAUUUUCUCUCUGAGUUUUAUUUUAGCCCAACUUCUUAAUGUGCUAAGCUUUCUAAGAGCCCCUCUAAGAGGAACCAUAUAAAGUUCUGCUCUGCCCUCCAGGGAAGCGGUCUUUAUAUACCAUCGAAGGCAAAUGCAUUCUCUGCUAAAUCUCUCCAAAGAACUUCAGAAAAUUCUCCAAGCAUCAUUCUGAUGCUACUCUGAAUUCAUUGAGAUCAUCCAAAGUGAUAACCUCAUUGGUAUUUCAUCUUCUUCUCAGCUCCAGCUGGAGAAUUUUUCCCCUCAUUAAAAUUAACGAGGUCCGUUUCCUAAGUUCAAGAUAUUGAGCACUCCUCCUGGUGGAGUUUUGUUUCUUCAAUUGAGCUCCAGUUCUCUAAGCACAAAGUUAUCUACUAAGCGUCAUUUAUUUUAUCGUUGCGUAGUAAGAAAGCAAAAAUGGAAGUCCUGAGUGCUCCUCCCAACACAUCCUCCACUUCGGCAGCCACAGGCAAACACACACACACCACACAUCCCUAACUCAGCCCAUCAUUUCUCUGCAUUUGGCCACAAAAGGAACCUUACCACACUGAGAACCGACAGCUUGGCAGGAAAAAAAAAAAAAAAAAAAAAAAA